rnacentral:tRNA from 1 species
AGGGACUUAGGUUAAAACAAGACCAAGGGCCUUCAAAGCCCUAAGUGAGGGUGGAAGUCCCCCAGUCCCUGA